AUUGAACGCUGGCGGCAGGCCUAACACAUGCAAGUCGAACGAGUGGCGGACGGGUGAGUAAUGUCUGGGAAACUGCCCGAUGGAGGGGGAUAACUACUGGAAACGGUAGCUAAUACCGCAUACUAUCGGAUGUGCCCCGAUGGGGUUAGCUAGUAGGUGGGGUAACGGCUCACCUAGGCGACGGUCCCUAGCUGGUCUGAGAGGAUGAUCAGCCACCCUGGUACUGAGACACGGUCCAGCCUCCUACGGGAGGCAGCAGUGGGGAAUAUUGCACAAUGGGCGCAAGCCUGAUGCAGCCAGGCCGCGUGUAUGAAGAAGGCCUUAGGUUUGUAGAGUACUUUCAGCGAGGAGGCGUUACGCGCAGAAGAAGCACCGGCUAACUCCGGGCCAGCAGCCGCGGUAAUUC
rnacentral:rRNA from 1 species